rnacentral:lncRNA from 1 species
GUGGUCUUUUAUUAAUUUUAUAGGUCUAUUGUGAUUUCAUUAGAUGCCAUUUGAUUAUGUUUUAUUGGCACAUUAUUUGUUUGAUUAAAAAUGUCAUUUUGGAGAGACACUUGACUAGAUGUUCUUUUAACUAGUUUUCUAGAUUUUCUGUCUUUUUAUUUGCUUUAUCAAAGGAAUAACCCAUAAACAAACGACAUCUAUAAUAUCAAAAAUUGUC